rnacentral:rRNA from 1 species
UCUGGUUGAUCCUGCCAGUAGUUAUAUGCUUGUCUCAAAGAUUAAGCCAUGCAUGUCUAAGUACACACGCAUUAAAAGUGAAACCGCAAAAGGCUCAUUAUAUCAGUUAUGGUUCCUUAGAUCGUUAACAGUUACUUGGAUAACUGUGGUAAUUCUAGAGCUAAUACAUGCAAUUAAAACAUGAACCUUAUGGGACAUGUGCUUUUAUUAGGCUAAAACCAAGCGAUCGCAAGAUCGUUAUAUUGGUUGAACUCUAGAUAACAUGCAGAUCGUAUGGUCUUGUACCGACGACAGAUCUUUCAAAUGUCUGCCCUAUCAACUUUUGAUGGUAGUAUCUAGGACUACCAUGGUUGCAACGGGUAACGGGGAAUCAGGGUUCGAUUCCGGAGAGGGAGCCUGAGAAACGGCUACCACAUCUAAGGAAGGCAGCAGGCGCGUAAAUUACCCACUCCCAGCUCGGGGAGGUAGUGACGAAAAAUAACAAUACAGGACUCAUAUCCGAGGCCCUGUAAUUGGAAUGAGUACACUUUAAAUCCUUUAACAAGGACCAAUUGGAGGGCAAGUCUGGUGCCAGCAGCCGCGGUAAUUCCAGCUCCAAUAGCGUAUAUUAAAGUUGUUGCGGUUAAAACGUUCGUAGUUGAACUUGUGCUUCAUACGGGUAGUACAACAUACAAUUGUAGUUAGUACUAUACCUUUAUGUAUGUAAGCGUAUUACCGGUGGAGUUCUUAUAUAUGUUUAAAUACUUGUAUUUUUUCAUAUGUUCCUCCUAUUUAAAAACCUGCAUUAGUGCUCUUAAACGAGUGUUAUUGUGGGCCGGUACAAUUACUUUGAACAAAUUAGAGUGCUUAAAGCAGGCUUCAAAUGCCUGAAUAUUCUGUGCAUGGGAUAAUGAAAUAAGACCUCUGUUCUGCUUUCAUUGGUUUUCAGAUCAAGAGGUAAUGAUUAAUAGAAGCAGUUUGGGGGCAUUAGUAUUACGACGCGAG